rnacentral:rRNA from 1 species
AGAGUUUGAUCCUGGCUCAGAAUGAACGUUGGCGGCGUGGAUUAGGCAUGCAAGUCGAACGGGCCGCAAGGCCAGUGGCGCAAGGGUGAGUAAGGCGACGGUAACCAACCCCAUGAAUGGGCAUAGCCGCGGGAAACUGCGGGUAAUUCCCAGCGAUGUUGCGAGGAGGCAUCUCCUUGCAACCAAAGCUCCGGCGUCGUGGGACGGGCCGUUGUGGUAUUAGCUAGUUGGCGGGGUGAUGGCCCACCAAGGCUACGAUGCCUACCGGGCGUGCGAGCGUGGCCCGGCACACUGGGACUGAGACACUGCCCAGACUCCUACGGGAGGCUGCAGUCGAGAAUCUUCGGCAAUGGGCGCAAGCCUGACCGAGCGACGCCGCGUGGAGGACGAAGGCCUUCGGGUUGUAAACUCCUGUCGAGGGGGAAAAAGGUCCGCAAGGGC